AGGGUGAUCGGCCACACUGGAACUGAGACACGGUCCAGACUCCUACGGGAGGCAGCAGUAGGGAAUCUUCCGCAAUGGGCGAAAGCCUGACGGAGCAACGCCGCGUGAGUGAUGAAGGUCUUCGGAUCGUAAAACUCUGUUAUUAGGGAAGAACAUAUGUGUAAGUAACUGUGCACAUCUUGACGGUACCUAAUCAGAAAGCCACGGCUAACUACGUGCCAGCAGCCGCGGUAAUACGUAGGUGGCAAGCGUUAUCCGGAAUUAUUGGGCGUAAAGCGCGCGUAGGCGGUUUUUUAAGUCUGAUGUGAAAGCCCACGGCUCAACCGUGGAGGGUCAUUGGAAACUGGAAAACUUGAGUGCAGAAGAGGAAAGUGGAAUUCCAUGUGUAGCGGUGAAAUGCGCAGAGAUAUGGAGGAACACCAGUGGCGAAGGCGACUUUCUGGUCUGUAACUGACGCUGAUGUGCGAAAGCGUGGGGAUCAAACAGGAUUAGAUACCCUGGUAGUCCACGCCGUAAACGAUGAGUGCUAAGUGUUAGGGGGUUUCCGCCCCUUAGUGCUGCAGCUAACGCAUUAAGCACUCCGCCUGGGGAGUACGACCGCAAGGUUGAAACUCAAAGGAAUUGACGGGGACCCGCACAAGCGGUGGAGCAUGUGGUUUAAU
rnacentral:rRNA from 1 species